GCAAGAUCAGCCCCGCGGUAAUACAGGGGGAGCAAGCGUUAUCCGGAAUGAUUGGGCGUAAAGCGUCUGUAGGUGGUUUCAAAAGUCUACUGUCAAAUAAGUUGGCUCAACCAGCAUAGGGCAGUGGAGUACUAUGAAACUAGAGUGCGGUAGAGGUAGAGGGAAUUCCUAGCGUAACAGUGAAAUGUGUAGAUUUUAGGGAGAACACCAGCGGCGAAGGCGCUCUACUGGGCCGUGACUGACACUGAGAGACGAAAGCUAAGGGAGAGAAAAGGAUUAGAUACCCUUGUAUUCUUAGCUGUAAACGAUGGAAACUAAGUGGGGGCUGCAAAGCCGCCCCUGCUGUAGCUAACGCGUUAAGUUUCCCGCCUGGGGAGUACAAUCGCAAGAGUGAAACUCAAAGGAAUUGACGGGGACUUGCACAAGCGGUGGAUUCUGUGGUUUAAUUUGAUGCUACGCGAAGAACCUUAAUGGC
rnacentral:rRNA from 1 species